rnacentral:rRNA from 1 species
GUGGGGAAUAUUGCGCAAUGGGCGAAAGCCUGACGCAGCGACGCCGCGUGUGGGAUGAAGGUCUUCGGAUUGUAAACCACUGUCGCGAGGGACGAAAAUCUGACGGUACCUCGAAAGGAAGCACCGGCUAACUCUGUGCCAGCAGCCGCGGUAAUACAGAGGGUGCGAGCGUUGUCCGGAAUCACUGGGCGUAAAGGGCGCGUAGGCGGCUUGGUAAGUAGGGGGUGAAAUCUCAUGGCUCAACUGUGAGGCUGCCUUCUAGACUGCUGAGCUGGAGCACAGUAGAGGCGAGUGGAAUUCCCGGUGUAGCGGUGGAAUGCGUAGAGAUCGGGAAGAACAUCGGUGGCGAAGGCGGCUCGCUGGGCUGUUGCUGACGCUGAGGCGCGAAAGCGUGGGGAGCAAACAGGAUUAGAUACCCUGGUAGUCC